AGGUGAAGAUAUCAGAAAACUAGAGCAUGGAGUACAAGUAGUCUCUGGAACUCCUGGAAGAGUCUGUGACAUGAUUAAAAGGAGAACUUUACGAACUAGGGGUAUAAAAUUAUUGAUUCUUGUAAGUUUAUGGCUUUCUUCUGACCUUCGUAUUUUAAUUUGCUUGCUGAACUCUUUUUUGUCUGAUUACUUCUCCAUUAAAAUUAUUGAGGUCUUACUCUGCUUCUGAUGUUUGUUAGGAUGAAUCUGAUGAGAUGUUGAGCCGUGGUUUUAAGGAUCAGAUAUAUGAUGUUUACAGACCUUCAUAUUUUAAUUUGCUUGCCGAACUCUUUUUUUAUCUGAUUACUUCUCCAUUAAAUUUAUUGAGGUCUUACUCUGCUUCUGAUGUUUGUUAGGACGAAUC
rnacentral:lncRNA from 1 species